rnacentral:siRNA from 1 species
UGUUUUAGGUGAUGUGAUUUGC